rnacentral:lncRNA from 10 species
UCCAAGUUCAGUUUUCUUCCAAGUGGCUGGGGAGGGAUGGGUCGGCCAUUAGGACACUGGGCGAAUCACAUCAGGGUCGGAAAGGCCCUGGACAGAAUGUACAGGAGGAGAGUGGGAUGUAAAAUUCUGACAUCUUCUUUCCUCUUCUGCUCCCAGCCCUCUCCAUGUCUGCACUGUCCCUGAGGACUGUCAAUUCUGCCUCAGAAACAUCAGCUUUGGAACCCAGUUCAUGUUUAGAUGUGGACCUUGCCACAUACGUAUUUCUCAUGAGUCUUAUUCCACAUGGCCAUGGCCACCAAGUCUUGCUGAUUCCACCUGCUGCCUUGUAACAGAUCUGUCUCCUUCUCCCCUGAUUCUUCCCCAGAGUGUGCUCCACUCUGGUCACUGGGUAUCCUCCCUCAUCACUUUCUAAUUUUCUGGGAUUCAGAAGAUUAUUUUCACUAACACGGCAUGAUGGAAUUGGGUAUGGACAGGAGAUUAGGAAAGGUUUGAAACUACGAACAGUUUUGCAAACUUGGCAGAAUUGAUCCAGGC